rnacentral:ncRNA from 2 species
GCUCACGAGCUGCAGCCAUUCGGUACCUGGCCGGCUGCACGGCAACCCUCCUCCGCUGAGCGGGGUGCCCCAGGGGAAGAGCCGGCCCGGCGCACCCGCGCGGGGCAAGUCAGCGGG